AGCAGCCGCGGUAAUUCCAGCUCCAAUAGCGUAUAUUAAAGUUGUUGCAGUUAAAAGCUCGUAGUUGAAUUUCGGGAUUGACGUGAUGGUCAUGCCUUAAGGGGUAUGAACUGUUACUGUUGAUUUCUCACCUUCUGGAGAAACUUGAUGUCCUUUAUUGGGUGUCUUGCGGAUCCAGGACCUUUACCUUGAAAAAAUUAGAGUGUUUAAAGCAGGCAUUUUUGCUCGAAUACAUUAGCAUGGAAUAAUAGAAUAGGACGGCAUGGUUCUAUUUUGUUGGUUUCUAGGAUCACCGUAAUGAUUAAUAGGGAUAGUUGGGGGCAUUAGUAUUCAAUUGUCAGAGGUGAAAUUCUUGGAUUUAUUGAAGACUAACUACUGCGAAAGCAUUUGCCAAGGAUGUUUUCAUUAAUCAAGAACGAAAGUUAGGGGAUCGAAGACGAUCAGAUACCGUCGUAGUCUUAACCAUAAACUAUGCCGACUAGGAAUCAGACGAUGUUAAUUUUUU
rnacentral:misc_RNA from 1 species